AUUGUUUUCUGUUUUCUGUCUCCUGUUCUGCGCUCCUGUCCCUGCUCCUGUCCCGUUUGAAGGCCACAGGAUGCUCUGUGUGUAUGGGUGCGUGUGUUUGUGUGUUCAUAUCUUCUCACUGAUUGGAGAGCUGAGCGGCUCGUCUCCUUGGAACUCCUCCAGGACAAAGAACUGGUUCCACACCCAGCUCCUCCUGCUCCUCUGGUAGGACUGGAUGCCUCCUGAUGCUCCUCGUCCUGACACCUGACAGAGGAGGCGUGAGUUCAGGGUCAUCGCCUCAGUGCCUGGCUCCUCCCACAGGAUCAACAAAUUGAGCGUGCUCAUAAGCCAGAAAAUGGUCAUCUCUGAGGACAAAGACACCAGUGUCCAAGGAGACAGAGUGGACUGUAGUGUCCAGUGAGGAGAUUCAAACUUUCCAAGAAGACGUCAAACUGUCCAACGAGGAGACAUCAAACUGUCCAAUGAGGAGACAUCAAGCAAGGAGGAGCAUAGCAGAUGGACGUAAACCUGUAAUAAACAUUUAAAUGAUAAAAUAUGAAAUGAAAUUAAGAGAAUUCCUUGUAUUAUCUCUGGUCACGCAGUAAAUGUAUAAAUGUUUGUACAGAUUCAAGUGUUAAUAUGAGGAAAGAAGAAAAUCUUCUGUUUUAUUUGUAGAUUCAGGUUUGAACUGAAGUUUCUUUUCACAGGAGGAUGUUCUUUACUUUUAUUUAAAACAUUUCUUUGAACUUCAAGCUGUGAAAAUCAGUUUUUUUUUAAAUAUUUUGGU